rnacentral:lncRNA from 1 species
AUGUCCCAGACACAGGAUUACGAGUGCAGGAGCCAUCAUGUUGAUGGGCAGGAGUCCAGGAUUCCAGGAUCAAGUACCAGGCUGGAGUGGGUGGAGAUCAUCGAGCCACGCACCCGAGAGCGCAUGUAUGCCAACCUGGUCACAGGCGAGUGUGUGUGGGACCCCCCAGCCGGCGUGCGCAUCAAGCGCACCAGUGAGGACCAGUGGUGGGAGCUCUUCGACCCCAACACCUCGCGCUUCUACUACUACAGCGCCGCCUCGCAGCGCACGGUGUGGCACCGCCCACAGAACUGCGAUAUCAUCCCGCUGGCCAAGCUGCAGACGCUGAAGCAGAAUACCGAAUUCCCACGAGCCUCAGCGGACAGCAGCCCAGGCCGCGGCAGCCGUGAUGGGAGCUCUUCGACCCCAACACCUCGCGCUUCUACUACUACAGCGCCGCCUCGCAGCGCACGGUGUGGCACCGCCCACAGAACUGCGAUAUCAUCCCGCUGGCCAAGCUGCAGACGCUGAAGCAGAAUACCACCGAAUCCCGAGCCUCAGCGGACAGCAGCCCAGGCCGCGGCAGCCGUGAAGGCAGCACUGGCUCCUCGUUGGAGCCCGAUGCCGUCACUGAGAGGGUGCAAGAGCUGCCAGCCAGGGCCGGGCGGCAGGUGGCGCUGGGAAGCGCCCGGGAAGAGAGCAGCAGGUGAGGGGCGAGGCCAGGCUGGAAAGCAGGAUGGGGAGCGUCGGGACCAGGAAGGAUUGGAGUUGGGACUGAAGGGAACCAGGGCAGGGCAGGGCAGGCUAGGUGGGGCAGAGUGGCCGUGAGG